CUCUAGGGGGCCAAGGAAAGGAAAUAACUCGCGGGGAGGUGAGGAAACCAGAAACAGGCUAGGGAGUCCGUGCCAGCCGUCGUGGACCUCAGGUUUCCCUCCCGGGGAGGGUUUCGGCGGAACCUCACCAAAGUCACUUUUCUGUUGCUUGCCCGCGACCUGUGCCAUUCGCACAGCCCGGCCGCGCCCAAGUUUCCGGGAAGGAUUUGGGGUCCUCUGGGAAGGAUGGAGGCGGGGCUCCACUCGUGGUAUUUUGGUUCUGCUCUUCUCUGCCCUCUCAGAUACCUAAGGAAAAUAAAAGCAUCCAACUAAAGAAUCCAGAGACCACUGGACAAAUGAAACAUCUGAAGAAAAAGGAUGAAUCGAGAACAUGUCCUAAGAAGAAGAGUCAAUUGACCAAAUGGUAUCACCCACCUCCAGCUAACCGACCUCAAAUCCUGGCUCGGAGCCCCAGACUAGCACACAUGCCACCAUCUUGCCCAAGUGGCUGCCCCUUCCCAGCUAACUGAUUCCAGCUAACUGAGAUGCACAAGAAAAUAGCAUGUCAUCCCACCUAUAUGAGGUAAAUAAGACAAUAGCAUAUUCUAGCAAAAUGAGAUGCACCAGAAAAUGUUGAAUUAGUCCACCGAUAUGAAAUGCAAAAGAUAACAUGUAAUGAUUCCACCUCUAUGAGGUUCACAAUACAACAGCCUAUGAUUCUAUGGACAUGAACUGCAUAAGAUGAUAGUGUAUGGUUCCACCUGUAUGAAAUACACAAGGCAAUAGUAUGUGACUGCAACAAAAGGAGAUGCACGAGAAAACAGCAGAUGAUUCCACCUCCAUGAGUCACAAAGACAGUAGGAAAUGACUGUACGUGUAAGCAAUAGAAAAGAAAACAGCAUAUGAUUCCAGUGACAUAAGAUGCACAAAACAAUAGAGAAUGAUUCCUCCCAUAAGAGACACAGAAGACAAGUGAUUCAACCUAGUGAGAUGCACUAGAAAACAGCAUAUGAUUCCACCUUUAUGAGAUGCAGAAGAUAAUAGACAAUUGCACGUAUGUCCAACAUGUCUUGCACAAUAAAACAGCAUAUUAUCUCAGUGUCGUGAGAUGCAGAUCAGCUCAGAGACAGAAAAUGAUAGCUGCCAGGGACUGGAGAGAGCAGAAGAUAGAGAAUUAUUGUUUAAUGGAUUCAAAGUUAUGUGUUUGCCAGGCAGAGGCAAAGGCAGGUGAAUGUCUGUGUUUUUGAGGCCAGUCUGGUCUACAUAGCAAGUUCCAGGCCAGCCAAGGCAAUAUGCCAAGGCCUUGUCUCAAAAUAAAAUAAAGAAGAAACAGAAGUUUUAGUUUUGUACAGUGAAAUAUCUUGAACAUGGGUGGUGGAAAUAACUGUCUAUAAUCACCAGCAAGUGAAUACCCUUAAUACUGCUGGAUGGUACACUUAAAAUGGUGAAAGCAAUGUUUUGGGUGAGUUGGUGUGUGCCUUUAGGCUUAGCAUUCUGGAGGUUGAGGCAGGAGGGUUGCACAAGUUCAGAGCCAAGCCUGAGCUACAUAGCAAGAUCCUGUCUCAAAAAGGGGUGGGGGGAGUAUGACUAGAGAGAUGGCUCAGGGGUUUAAGUGCAUGUACUGCUCUUCCUGAGGUCCUGAAUUUGAUUCCCAGCACGCACAUCAGGCACCUCACAACUGUAAUUUCAGUUAUAAGGGAUCUGACACCUUUGCUCUCUGUGGCCCCUCACCUACAACCCCCCCCCCACAAUACACAUAAUUAAAAAUAUGUAACAGUAAUAAUUUUUGUGUAUAUUUUAUUACAAUAUUAAAUUAUUGUAUGUGUGGAUAAAUACACCUAUAACUAAAUGUAUCUUAGUAUCUAAUAUUAAAAAUAAUAGGGCUGGAGAGAUGGCUCAGCCAUCAAGAGGACUUGUUGCUCUUGCAGAGAACCUGGGUUCAGUUCCAAGCACUCCCAGGGCAGCUCACAUUCACCUGUAAGUUCCCGGCCAGCCACGGCUACAUAGUGAGACUCUGGUCUCAAAAGGAAAGUGGGGUGGCUGGCUGGAAGGACGGCUCAGUAGGUAAGAGCACUUGCUGCCCUUGCAGAGGAUCUGGAUUUGGUUCCUACACAGCGGUUCAAAACUUUUCUAACUCAAGUUCCAGGGGAUCUGAAGCUCUUUUCUGGCCUCCAUGGAUACCAGGCAUGCAAAACACUCAUAGGUAUAAAAUAAAAAUAAAUCUGAAAAAAUAUUUCAAGGAGCUAUUGAAAAAUCUGCGUUCACUCAACAGACAGUUUGGGGAUGCCUGCUGUGUGCCAUGCAUUGCUCAUGUUGGGGUCUCAAGGUGGAGCAUGAUAGCUGGAUCUCUGAUUUCAAUGUUCCUCCUCUUGUCAACACUUAAUGUUUAGAACAGAGCUGAUGGUAUGACACUGUAAAGGGCAGCGUGGGAAUCCUCUACAGUCUUUCUGCCCAGCUCUGCAUAGAAAACUAAGAAUCAAUACGUCAGAGCUCUAGAAGUCUGCAGCAAAAACCUCCUAACGCAGGAGAAAGAAACAGAAAGGUGAAGAUUGUUAUGGAAUAUUAGUUUAAGACGUAUUACAUUUGUUUAUGCUGUGAAACAUUUGUUUAAUGAUGCAAAGAUGUUGCAUUCUUUUAUGUUGCAUUUAUUUGACCCUGUGAAGCUGUGUUACUUUGCCUGUCUAAAACACCUGAUGGUCUAAUAAAGAGCUAAAUGACCAAUAGCAAGGCAGGAGAAAGGCUAGGCGGGGCUGGCACGCAGAGAGAAUAGUUUGCUUUUCGAGACAAGGUCUCACUGUGUAGCUCUGGUUGCUUGGAACUUGCUAGACAGACCAGGCUGGCCUCGAACUCACAGAGGUCUGCCAGCCUCUGCCUUCAGGCUGCCUAGUUACGUUUUCUUUCAUUGAGACAGGAUCUCUCAAUGUAGUCCAAGCCUGCCUUUAGCUCACUGUGUAGAUGAAGAUGACCUAAAAUUCCUGAUCCUCCUGCCUUCUCCUCCCAGGUGCUGGCAUUACAGACAGCUGGGUGACUGCUUUUGUCUUACCUAACUCAGUCUUUUCAGGGAAGGAGAACAGCUGGAGAUGGGUGUUCUUAGAAAACAUUGUAUGCAGGCUGGAGAGAUGGCUCCAGGUUAAGAGCACUGGCUGCCCUUCCAGAGGUCCUGAGUUCAAUUCCCAGUACCCACCUGGUGGCUCACAACCAUCUAUAAGGAGAUCUGAUGCCCUAUUCUGGUGUGCGGGCAAACAUGCAGACAGAACACUGUGUACAUAAUAAAUAAAUAAAUCUAAACAAAUGAAGGAAUAUAUUGUAAGCUAAGGGAAGCAGCCAUGACCACCUGGGGGGGGGAGAUCAUAGCUGAGACAAAGAAUUGACACACCAAAAGAAAAACCGGGAAGGAUGUCCUUUGUCAAAACCUUUGCUUUUGUUUUAUGUGUACAGUGUCUUGCCUGAGACCGGCGGUGGUGGCACAGGCCUUUAAUCCCAGCACUCAGGAGGCAGAGGCAGGUGGAUCUUGGAGGCCAGCCGGAUCUUGGAGGCCAUCCUGGUCUACAGAGCAAGAUCCAGGACAGCCACGGCUACACAGAGAAAACCUGUCUCAAAAAAAAAAAAAAAAAAAAAAAGAACAACAACAACAAAAAAAGAAGUAAUCCCGUUUUCCUGUUUUCAGUGAAA